UGUUCGAAAGGGAAACAGCCCAGACCACCAGCUAAGGUCCCAAAAUAUAUGUUAAGUGGAAAAGGAUGUGGCGUUGCCCAGACAACUAGGAUGUUGGCUUAGAAGCAGCCAUCAUUUAAAGAGUGCGUAAUAGCUCACUAGUCGAGUGACACUGCGCCGAAAAUGUACCGGGGCUAAACAUAUUACCGAAGCUGUGGAUUGUCCUUUGGACAAUGGUAGGAGAGCGUUCUAAGGGCGUCGAAGCAUGAUCGCAAGGACAUGUGGAGCGCUUAGAAGUGAGAAUGCCGGUGUGAGUAGCGAAAGACGGGUGAGAAUCCCGUCCACCGAUUGACUAAGGUUUCCAGAGGAAGGCUCGUCCGCUCUGGGUUAGUCGGGUCCUAAGCUGAGGCCGACAGGCGUAGGCGAUGGAUAACAGGUUGAUAUUCCUGUACCACCUAGUAUCGUUUUAAUCGAUGGGGGGACGCAGUAGGAUAGGCGAAGCGUGCUGUUGGAGUGCACGUCCAAGCAGUAAGGCUGAGUGUUAGGCAAAUCCGGCACUCAUAAGGCUGAGCUGUGAUGGGGAGAGGAAAUUGUUUCCUCGAGUCGUUGAUUUCACACUGCCGAGAAAAGCCUCUAGAUAGAUAACAGGUGCCCGUACCGCAAACCGACACAGGUAGUCAAGAUGAGAAUUCUAAGGUGAGCGAGCGAACUCUCGUUAAGGAACUCGGCAAAAUGACCCCGUAACUUCGGGAGAAGGGGUGCUCUUUAGGGUUCACGCCCAGAAGAGCCGCAGUGAAUAGGCCCAAGCGACUGUUUAUCAAAAACACAGGUCUCUGCUAAACCGUAAGGUGAUGUAUAGGGGCUGACGCCUGCCCGGUGCUGGAAGGUUAAGAGGAGUGGUUAGCUUCUGCGAAGCUACGAAUCGAAGCCCCAGUAAACGGCGGCCGUAACUAUAACGGUCCUAAGGUAGCGAAAUUCCUUGUCGGGUAAGUUCCGACCCGCACGAAAGGCGUAACGAUUUGGGCACUGUCUCAACGAGAGACUCGGUGAAAUCAUAGUACCUGUGAAGAUGCAGGUUACCCGCGACAGGACGGAAAGACCCCGUGGAGCUUUACUGUAGCCUGAUAUUGAAAUUCGGCACAGCUUGUACAGGAUAGGUAGGAGCCUUUGAAACGUGAGCGCUAGCUUACGUGGAGGCGUUGGUGGGAUACUACCCUAGCUGUGUUGGCUUUCUAACCCGCACCACUUAUCGUGGUGGGAGACAGUGUCAGGCGGGCAGUUUGACUGGGGCGGUCGCCUCCUAAAAGGUAACGGAGGCGCUCAAAGGUUCCCUCAGAAUGGUUGGAAAUCAUUCAUAGAGUGUAAAGGCAUAAGGGAGCUUGACUGCGAGACCUACAAGUCGAGCAGGGUCGAAAGACGGACUUAGUGAUCCGGUGGUUCCGCAUGGAAGGGCCAUCGCUCAACGGAUAAAAGCUACCCCGGGGAUAACAGGCUUAUCUCCCCCAAGAGUUCACAUCGACGGGGAGGUUUGGCACCUCGAUGUCGGCUCAUCGCAUCCUGGGGCUGUAGUCGGUCCCAAGGGUUGGGCUGUUCGCCCAUUAAAGCGGUACGCGAGCUGGGUUCAGAACGUCGUGAGACAGUUCGGUCCCUAUCCGUCGUGGGCGUAGGAAAUUUGAGAGGAGCUGUCCUUAGUACGAGAGGACCGGGAUGGACAUACCUCUGGUGUACCAGUUGUCGUGCCAACGGCAUAGCUGGGUAGCUAUGUAUGGACGGGAUAAGUGCUGAAAGCAUCUAAGCAUGAAGCCCCCCUCAAGAUGAGAUUUCCCAACUUCGGUUAUAAGAUCCCUCGAAGAUGACGAGGUUAAUAGGUUCGAGGUGGAAGCGUGGUGACACGUGGAGCUGACGAAUACUAAUCGAUCGAAGACUUAAUCAAUUUUUAAA
rnacentral:rRNA from 1 species